GAUGAACGCUGGCGGCGUGCCUAACACAUGCAAGUCGAGCGAUUUACUUCGGUAAAGAGCGGCGGACGGGUGAGUAACGCGUGGGUAACCUGCCCUGUACACACGGAUAACAUACCGAAAGGUAUGCUAAUACGAGAUAAUAUGCUUUUAUCGCAUGGUAGAAGUAUCAAAGCUUUUGCGGUACAGGAUGGACCCGCGUCUGAUUAGCUAGUUGGUAAGGUAACGGCUUACCAAGGCGACGAUCAGUAGCCGACCUGAGAGGGUGAUCGGCCACAUUGGAACUGAGACACGGUCCAAACUCCUACGGGAGGCAGCAGUGGGGAAUAUUGCACAAUGGGCGAAAGCCUGAUGCAGCAACGCCGCGUGAGCGAUGAAGGCCUUCGGGUCGUAAAGCUCUGUCCUCAAGGAAGAUAAUGACGGUACUUGAGGAGGAAGCCCCGGCUAACUACGUGCCAGCAGCCGCAGUAAAAC
rnacentral:rRNA from 1 species